ACUACCACUGUGAUGCUAACUACACAGUGGGGGUCAGUACACUACGGAUCUACCUGAAGGUUCACAGCCUAACAGCUGCUCUUCUCCCUUUUCUGUGUAUUGUUGCUGAGGUACUUGUGUUAGUUAUUGUCAUAUUGGCUUGUGAAAGAAAGAUGAAGCAGAAGGAAGAACCUGCUGAUAUAAACCUUUCAAACAAACAGACCACAGAAGAGCUGCUUGAUUCCACCGAAAAUGGAACCCGGCAUAGAAAGGCUUAACCUACUUUUGUGCAAAAAAUGUGGAGCCAACAAAAGUGUGUUGGAGCAUCUUUAUUUUGCUGUGCACUAUUAUGGCUCAAAGGAAACAUAAAUAUGAUGGAAUGAGGAAUAUCAGUAAUGCUUGCUCUUCAUCUCUACUACAAUCAGAAUUCCAAAGCAAAGUUAACCCUGCUAUUAUCCAUACUAAUACAGUUCUUAUGAAUCCUCUAUACUUUUGAUCGUUGGAUAGUUUAAUUUGAUGCUAUCAGAUGUCUGAAAGAAUUGAAAAAAUUAUUAGAUGGAAGUCAAAUGCAAGCAUAGUAUCAGAAACCCUCCACGCAGAAGUAUGAAAAGUAGCAUUACUGCAGUUCACAACAUCACGUACAGUCCUACAACUUCCUGUUGUUUUAAAACCAGAAAUUGCUGGAAGUGCACAACAGAUCAGGCAGAAUCUGUUGUAAGAGAAAGUACAUUAAUAUUUCAGGUUGAUAAUUGCCAGUGAAGAUUCAUCAGCUUGAAACAUUACCUCUCUUUCCACAGAUGCUACAUGAUCUUGUAAAUAUUUCCAGCAUUCUUUUUUUGCUUUUUGAUCAGUGUAAAUUGUUGGCCACAAAUCCAUCAAGCAAUCUUCCGUCUGAUGGUCAAAAUUCAGCCAUGAUCUGAAAUGCUAACCUAACAUCUGAGUGACUGAAUGUGGGUCUGCCCCAUAUUGGGUGAGUUUGUUCCAUAACAGAAGAAAUGGAGAACCAUCAACACUUGGAGUACCAAUCAGUUGAAGGCCACAAACAAAGGAAAAAUAUUUGCAUUCUCUGUGCUUUGUGCAGAGCACAGAUCCAGGAUUGUUACCAAAAGUGGCCCUACCCUUUGGCUAGCCUAAAUAACCAUUUAAGUCUUUCUCAUGUAUAAUCAAAUGAAUUUUAACAAGCAUUGUACAAACAACAUCUGAUAUCUCUUCAAAUGCUUGCUGUUCUUCUCAAGCUACAUUAAUUGUUCAUUUUAUCUUAAGCCAUAAUUUAACUCUCCAGUAAUAUCAGAGACAUCAUGUUCUAAUCAAGCUUUGCAGUGAGUUUAGUUCUGCCUUAAGACUUACAAAAUGGUCCCAUGGCUGCAGUUCCCUUUGAU